rnacentral:rRNA from 1 species
GACGUAGGGCGCAAGCGUUGUCCGGAUUUAUUGGGCGUAAAGAGCUCGUAGGCGGCUUGUUGCGUCGGCUGUGAAAACCCGCGGCUUAACUGCGGGCUUGCAGCCGAUACGGGCGGGCUGGAGUUCGGUAGGGGAGACUGGAACUCCUGGUGUAGCGGUGGAAUGCGCAGAUAUCAGGAAGAACACCAACGGCGAAGGCAGCUCGCUGGGACGGUACUGACGCUGAGACGCGAAAGCGUGGGGAGCGAACAGG